UUUAUCAGUACUAAUAAUGCCAGAGAGUGAAAGUAAACACACCAUUGAACAUCAAACUGUGAAAACAGUAUGUUUCGGGUUGAUGUUUAUCUUUGUUCUUGCUCAGAUGGCAGUAGGAGCACAGUACCAAGAUGACUGUGCAAGGCAGCCUUUUAUCCCCAUCUAUCUGCAAGGAUUUGUAGCCAUCUUCUUCUUCAUCUACUGGUG